GCACUGGACAGACUUGACAAAGACGGGAAACCCUUACUUUCUAGAAUGACUCUGAGUAAACCCAUAGGGUCAACUCCCAUUAAACUUACCCUGAAUAUAGAACACCCCAGCCCAAGGGACGCAGGGGAAUAUGUGAUGGGAAUGUAAGGAAGGGAGGUGGUUCACAUAAUGCAUUGGGGACAUUUUACCUACAAGACAUGCUCACCUCCCCAGACUGGGUAGGGACCACUCACAUGAUCAUUAACCCAUUAAAAC